AUUGAACGCUGGCGGCAUGCCUUACACAUGCAAGUCGAACGGUAACGGGCCUUCGGGUGCCGACGAGUGGCGAACGGGUGAGUAAUACAUCGGAACGUGCCCGAUCGUGGGGGAUAACGAGGCGAAAGCUUUGCUAAUACCGCAUACGAUCUACGGAUGAAAGCCGGGGACCGCAAGGCCUUGCGCGGACGGAGCGGCCGAUGGCAGAUUAGGUAGUUGGUGGGAUAAAAGCUUACCAAGCCGACGAUCUGUAGCUGGUCUGAGAGGAUGAUCAGCCACACUGGGACUGAGACACGGCCCAGACUCCUACGGGAGGCAGCAGUGGGGAAUUUUGGACAAUGGGCGCAAGCCUGAUCCAGCAAUGCCGCGUGCAGGAUGAAGGCCUCCGGGUUGUAAACUGCUUUUGUACGGAACGAAAAGCCUUCUUUUAAUACAGGAGGGUCAUGACGGUACCGUAAGAAUAAGCACCGGCUAACUACGUG
rnacentral:rRNA from 1 species